rnacentral:rRNA from 1 species
CCCUAGUAACGGCGAGUGAAGCGGCAACAGCUCAAAUUUGAAAUCUGGCCCCUCGGGCCCGAGUUGUAAUUUGCAGAGGAUGCUUUUGGUGAGGCGCCGCCUGAGUUCCCUGGAACGGGACGCCAUAGAGGGUGAGAGCCCCGUCUGGCUGGCCGCCGAGCCUCUGUAAAGCUCCUUCGACGAGUCGAGUAGUUUGGGAAUGCUGCUCUAAAUGGGAGGUAUAUGUCUUCUAAAGCUAAAUAUUGGCCAGAGACCGAUAGCGCACAAGUAGAGUGAUCGAAAGAUGAAAAGCACUUUGAAAAGAGGGUUAAAUAGUACGUGAAAUUGUUGAAAGGGAAGCGCUCAUGACCAGACUUGGGCCUGGCGAAUCAUCCGGCGUUCUCGCCGGUGCACUUCGCCAGGCUCAGGCCAGCAUCAGUUCGCCGCGGGGGAUAAAGGUUUCGGGAACGUGGCUCCUCCGGGAGUGUUAUAGCCCGUUGCGUAAUACCUGCGGUGGACUGAGGUCCGCGCAUCUGCAAGGAUGCUGGCGUAAUGGUCAUCAGCGACCUUUCUUGAAACACGGACCAAGGAGUCGUCUUCGUAUGCGAGUGUUCGGGUGUCAAACCCCUACGCGUAAUGAAAGUGAACGCAGGUGAGAGCUUCGGCGCAUCAUCGACCGAUCCUGAUGUUCUCGGAUGGAUUUGAGUAAGAGCAUACGGGGCCGGACCCGAAAGAAGGUGAACUAUGCCUGUAUAGGGUGAAGCCAGAGGAAACUCUGGUGGAGGCUCGCAGCGGUUCUGACGUGCAAAUCGAUCGUCAAAUAUGGGCAUGGGGGCGAAAGACUAAUCGAAC